AAUUUUAUUCAUGGGAGAAGUCGGUUAUUUCUAUUAAUUUAAUAUAUAUUGAUGAUAUAACUUAUGAAAUAAAGCAUCCAAAGAAAGAAUAUCUACAUGAGAAUUAGAAUAAUCAAAAAGAAAGAAAGAAAUAAAAAAUAGUAUGUAUACAUAGAGAAAAAAUUAAAAGGGGAAAAAUAAAAAUUGAAAGGAAAGAAAUAGAAAAAUUGAACAAAUACAAAGAAAGAAAAAAACCAACUCAACCUUAGCUAGGAAAUAAAAUAAUCCAACUCAGCCUAGUUAAGGAAACAAAAUAAUUAGAAAAAGAAGUAAAGGUAUGCGAGAGAAUUAGAAGGAAUAAAUGAAAAAGGAAGGAAAAGAAAAAUAGAAGAUGAAAUAGGUAGGAAAGAAAGAAUAAAAUAUAUGCAUAUACGGGUUAAAAUAGGGUAUUAGAAAUAAAAAAUCAAAACAAAACGAACGUGGAAAAGUAAAAAAAAUAACCCUAGCAUGCAAAUGCACACGUUUGCAUGCAGGUUAGGAGUUCGAACAUGCAUGCUGGCACUAGCUACCAUGGCCAGCCCGCCCCAUGCACAUGCAUUCGAACCUGGUUCGAUGCCUGUACACACGGCAAUCAAAUUUUUAAUGAGCUGACUGAGCUUUCUCUGACCCAUUUAAAUACUUCAGCUGACUAACCUCUCGAUGUAUAGUCUCCACCUCUCGUUCCGGCCUAGGUUGU
rnacentral:lncRNA from 1 species